rnacentral:rRNA from 1 species
GACGAACGCUGGCGGCGUGCCUAAUACAUGCAAGUAGAACGCUGAAGGAGGAGCUUGCUUCUCUGGAUGAGUUGCGAACGGGUGAGUAACGCGUAGGUAACCUGCCUGGUAGCGGGGGAUAACUAUUGGAAACGAUAGCUAAUACCGCAUAACAGUAGAUAUCGCAUGAUAUCUACUUGAAAGGUGCAGUUGCAUCACUACCAGAUGGACCUGCGUUGUAUUAGCUAGUUGGUGAGGUAACGGCUCACCAAGGCGACGAUACAUAGCCGACCUGAGAGGGUGAUCGGCCACACUGGGACUGAGACACGGCCCAGACUCCUACGGGAGGCAGCAGUAGGGAAUCUUCGGCAAUGGACGGAAGUCUGACCGAGCAACGCCGCGUGAGUGAAGAAGGUUUUCGGAUCGUAAAGCUCUGUUGUAAGAGAAGAACGAGUGUGAGAGUGGAAAGUUCACACUGUGACGGUAUCUUACCAGAAAGGGACGGCUAACUACGUG